rnacentral:rRNA from 1 species
GACGAACGCUGGCGGCGUGCUUAACACAUGCAAGUCGAACGGAAAGGCCCUGCUUGCAGGGUACUCGAGUGGCGAACGGGUGAGUAACACGUGGGUGAUCUGCCCUGCACUUCGGGAUAAGCUUGGGAAACUGGGUCUAAUACCGGAUAGGAACCAUCUUUAGUGUAAUGGUUGGAAAGUUUUUUCGGUGUAGGAUGAGCUCGCGGCCUAUCAGCUUGUUGGUGGGGUAAUGGCCUACCAAGGCGGCGACGGGUAGCCGGCCUGAGAGGGUGUACGGCCACAUUGGGACUGAGAUACGGCCCAGACUCCUACGGGAGGCAGCAGUGGGGAAUAUUGCACAAUGGGCGCAAGCCUGAUGCAGCGACGCCGCGUGGGGGAUGAAGGCCUUCGGGUUGUAAACUCCUUUCGCUAGGGACGAAGCUUUUUGUGACGGUACCUAGAUAAGAAGCACCGGCUAACUACGUG